AACGAACGCUGGCGGCAUGCCUAACACAUGCAAGUCGAACGAGAUCUUCGGGUCUAGUGGCGCACGGGUGCGUAACGCGUGGGAAUCUGCCCUUUGGUUCGGAAUAACAGUUGGAAACGACUGCUAAUACCGGAUGAUGACGAAAGUCCAAAGAUUUAUCGCCAGAGGAUGAGCCCGCGUAGGAUUAGCUAGUUGGUGUGGUAAAGGCGCACCAAGGCGACGAUCCUUAGCUGGUCUGAGAGGAUGAUCAGCCACUGGGACUGAGACACGGCCCAGACUCCUACGGGAGGCAGCAGUGGGGAAUAUUGGACAAUGGGCGAAAGCCUGAUCCAGCAAUGCCGCGUGAGUGAUGAAGGCCUUAGGGUUGUAAAGCUCUUUUACCCGGGAUGAUAAUGACAGUACCGGGAGAAUAAGCUCCGGCUAACUCCGUGCCAGCAGCCGCGGUAAUACGGAGGGAGCUAGCGUUGUUCGGAAUUACUGGGCGUAAAGCGCACGUAGGCGGCUUUGUAAGUUAGAGGUGAAAGCCUGGAGCUCAACUCCAGAACUGCCUUUAAGACUGCAUCGCUUGAAUCCAGGAGAGGUGGGUGGAAUUCCGAGUGUAGAGGUGAAAUUCGUAGAUAUUCGGAAGAACACCAGUGGCGAAGGCGGCUCACUGGACUGGUAUUGACGCUGA
rnacentral:rRNA from 1 species